rnacentral:sRNA from 1 species
AACCUUCUUCCCUUCGAGAUAGGCAGUUCGAAAGACUGCUGUUGAAAUCCAUGUUUGCGCAAAAGGGUAGUAACUACUAGUAGUGAUCUCAACUCUACAUCCCUUAUUGCUGUUCUCCAAGAGUCUUCCUGAGUAAAUUGGAGGAUUACACGGGCUACCUCAUUCGCGUUGAACAACAACCAUAUCCAGGCUUAACAUUGCUUCCUAACUCUACCAGCCUCGCCCCAUUCAGAAAUCGCACACCAUCGAGUACUAGAUUCCGUUGGGCCAGCUAUCUGUCCUCAAACUUCAAAAUUCAGCCGGUUGAUCGUCUUUCCUUGGCUCUUGCUUGAGCCAAAGAAGCAGCCAGAAAUAGGGGAGAAAUGGACGUGAGAGGAUUGGUGGGAUCCCCUUUUGAGAUACACUUCUCGAUACAGAAUAAUAACAAUAAGAACAAAGACUUCUACCAUCACUUGUUUUCAACAGAAUUGAAAGCUACUAGCUCAUAGUGCAUCAAUUAGAAUUCCUUAAAAAUACAUUUUUUGCCUUGGGGAAAAGGUCAAGCUUGUGGAAUAUCACACUGUUUAUAAGGAUGCCGUCAAUUCUUGAACAUUUUUAUAAUAGGUCCUGGUGAAUUUUUGAUUCCUGAAAUGCUUUUUAAGCGCGAGGAAGACCACACUUUUCCUCAUAAUGUCACUACCCUUAUGACAUUUAUAGUUCUAUGACAUUUUUAGUUUUCAUAAUCCUUUUUAAGCCUGGGGG